rnacentral:rRNA from 1 species
GUGCGUAGGCGGCUCUAUAAGUAUGGUGUGAAAUCUCCCGGCUUAACUGGGAGGGUGCGCUAUAGACUGUGGGGCUAGAGUGUGGGAGAGGAAAGUGGAAUUCCUGGUGUAGCGGUGAAAUGCGUAGAUAUCAGGAGGAACACCGGUGGUGUAAACGGCUUUCUGGACCAUAACUGACGCUGAGGCACGAAAGCGUGGGUAGCAAACAGGAUUAGAUACCCUGGUAGUCCACGCCCUAAACGAUGCAUAUUUGGUGUGGGUCAUUCAGUUGAUCCGUGCCGGAGCUAACGCGUUAAAUAUGCCGCCUGGGGAGUACAGUCGCAAGGCUGAAACUCAAAGGAAUUGACGGGGGCCCGCACAAGCGGUGGAGCAUGUGGUUUAAUUCGACGCAACGCGAAGAACCUUACCUGGGCUCGAAAUGCUACGGACCAGCUUAUGAAAGUAGGCCUUCCCGCAAGGGACCGUAGUAUAGGUGCUGCAUGGCUGUCGUCAGCUCGUGUCGUGAGGUGUUGGGUUAAGUCCCGCAACGAGCGCAACCCUUGUCCUGUGUU